GAGUUUGAUCCUGGCUCAGAUUGAACGCUGGCGGCAUGCCUUACACAUGCAAGUCGAACGGCAGCAUGAUCUAGCUUGCUAGAUUGAUGGCGAGUGGCGAACGGGUGAGUAAUACAUCGGAACGUGCCCUGUAGUGGGGGAUAACUAGUCGAAAGAUUAGCUAAUACCGCAUACGACCUGAGGGUGAAAGUGGGGGACCGCAAGGCCUCAUGCUAUAGGAGCGGCCGAUGUCUGAUUAGCUAGUUGGUGGGGUAAAGGCCCACCAAGGCGACGAUCAGUAGCUGGUCUGAGAGGACGAUCAGCCACACUGGGACUGAGACACGGCCCAGACUCCUACGGGAGGCAGCAGUGGGGAAUUUGGACAAUGGGCGAAAGCCUGAUCCAGCAAUGCCGCGUGUGUGAAGAAGGCCUCGGUUGUAA
rnacentral:rRNA from 1 species